UCCUCCGCUUAUUGAUAUGCUUAAGUUCAGCGGGUAUUCCUACCUGAUUUGAGGUAAUGUUCAAAAAUAUUUGUAUUAAUCGCAUACAGCUUAUACUGUACGCGUCAAAACUUGGUAGAAUCUUAUUAAUGAUUUUUCGCGAAAUAAAUAUUAUUACGCAUCUCAACAAAAUGAGACUAACCAUAUAUUUCAGGCUACUGCUACAAAGUGCGGAGAACCCAAUAUCCUUGACUAAAAAAAUAGUCAAAGAUUUAUUUAAUUACCCUCAAACAGGCAUGCUCUCCGGAAUACCAGAGAGCGCAAUAUGCGUUCAAAAAUUCGAUGAUUCAC
rnacentral:misc_RNA from 1 species